GCGAGAGUAAGCUAAUCUCUUAAAGCCGUUCUCAGUUCGGACUGUAGGCUACAACUCGCCUACACGAAGUCGGAAUCGCUAGUAAUCGCGGAUCAGCACGCCGCGGUGAAUACGUUCCCGGGCCUUGUACACACCGCCCGUCACACCAUGGAAGUCUGCAAUGCCCGAAGCCGGUGGCCUAACCACUUAUGUGGAAGGAGCCGUCUAAGGCAGGGCAGAUGACUGGGGUGAAGUCGUAACAAGGUAGC
rnacentral:rRNA from 1 species